UACGUAGGCAGCAAGCGUUGUUCGGAGUUACUGGGCGUAAAGGGUGCGUAGGCGGCUUUUUAAGUUUGGUGUGAAAUCUCCCGGCUCAACUGGGAGGGUGCGCCGAAUACUGAGAGGCUAGAGUGUGGGAGAGGAAAGUGGAAUUCCAGGUGUAGCGGUGAAAUGCGUAGAUAUCUGGAGGAACACCAGUGGCGAAAGCGCGUGACUGGGCCACAACUGACGCUGAGGAACGAAAGCCAGGGGAGCGAACGGG
rnacentral:rRNA from 1 species